UGCAUCCUCCAGGAUGACCUAAGAAGCCUUCUCUGGUAGCCUAAUUGUAUCAGUGGGCUACUCGUUAGUGGCAAGUUGCUUAACUUCUCUGAGCCUUAAGAGUCUGCAUUGGUGAAAUGAUUAUCUAACUUUGCAGGUCUAUCGUGGAGAUUAAGUGGGAUGAAGCUUGUCAUGUUACCUGGCCCUAACAGGCCCCACAAAACCUGCAUGUGCCCCUGGUGGUGAGCUACAUUGCUUGUGGAUAGAACCCGGAAGGCAGCAAACCGCAGAAGGAUAUAUGCUAUAAAAAUUCAAUUCAGGGUCUGAAAAAUGCCUGUGGCCAUUCCAUCACCACCCACCACCCGUCAUGAGGAGUAGUUGCACUGGAAAGAAAAAGUGGUCUUAACUGCUUGUGGUGAAAUAAUUUUGCCUUUGCAAAAUUUCAAAAACUUAGGGUGAAGCAACCUCACAGCCACAGCUCUCCCAGGCUCGGAAGAGGCAAGUGCAAGUGAAGGGCCAGUGAGCUUCAGCUCCGGGAGUGUUACGGGAAAGAAAAUGUUAGAGUCAGAUUGCUCUGGUUCUAAGCACAGCUCCAGCACUCAUCGCCUGGGGGACCUGAGGCUUGCCUUCAAGGCCAUUCUUUUUCAAGCAAUCCCUGCAAAUAAUAUGUGUAUCGCGCCUCCAGAGACCUCUGGGGUUGACAGGCUGCUUGCCGCAUGGUGGACAGGGAAGCUGCUGGUCAGUGAGUUGCCCGGAAGGACAGCUGAGGAGGGACACUCAGAGGGAGCAGGAAGCAACCCCCCUCCCCCCAAAGGAGGGUGAUACUUUUGGUAUCUGGAUGCAUUUUAGACCACAUCUCUCCAGGCUAUAUGGGAUCAGGAGGGACAGAGUACUACAACAAGGACUGGUAAAUUCUUUUCUGCUUUUUUUGGGGGGUGGGGAGUAGUAAAAUAUGAAGUUCUUCCGGAAAUGCUACUUCUGAGAAUCUAUCCUAAGGAAAUGAUGACAGAUUUAGGUGGCAUUAUGUGUCUACCAUUAUUCAUAAAAUUUGGAAACAAGGUAAAUGUUUUACAAUAAAGGCUUAGUUUUAAAACUAUCUCUAAGGGGGCUGGGAGUGUAUGGGAAACCUCUGUAUCUUUCCCUCAAUCUUGCUGUGAAGCUAAAACUGCUAAAAAGAAAAAAAGAAGCCUUUAAAAAAAAAUCCCUAUCUGUAUGACUGUAUAUUCUGUGCUGGU